AGAGCCUUAGUUUAAGAUAAAAUAUCUGAGUUGCAGUCAGAUGAUGUGGUGUAGCCGCAGGCUCUA
rnacentral:tRNA from 1 species